GACGUAGGGCGCGAGCGUUGUCCGGAAUUACUGGGCGUAAAGAGCUCGUAGGUGGUUUGUCGCGUUGUUCGUGAAAACUCACAACUCAAUUGUGGGCGUGCGGGCGAUACGGGCAGACUGGAGUACUGCAGGGGAGACUGGAAUUCCUGGUGUAGCGGUGGAAUGCGCAGAUAUCAGGAGGAACACCAGUGGCGAAGGCGGCUCACUGGACCGGUAUUGACGCUGAGGUGCGAAAGCGUGGGGAGCAAACAGG
rnacentral:rRNA from 1 species